GCUGACGAGUGCAACGAGGCUGCGAUCUUUUGAUCUUGAAAAAUCAAAGUCAAAAGAUCGCAGCCUCGUUGCACUCGUCAGC
rnacentral:misc_RNA from 1 species